GCUCACCACGUGCCAGGCGCUUUGUAAGCCCUCUGCAUGGAUUAUCUCAAUCUCUAGUUGGUGAGAUGCUCUGCUGCUCUCUACACCAACCCUGUCCUCCCCUACUUCCAGCUCAGAUAAGAUGGCAGCCUCCCAGUUACCCCUAACCCCAGCUCCAGCAGCCAGCUCAGGCCCUGGGAAGUCAUGGGUGGCUCUUGAAUCAGCCCUUGCUCUGAGACACAGGUAUGCCAAUCUUCCUGCUGUCAACUAAAGAACAAAAUGCAUGCGUUAAACAUUUCUGAUUUCUCCAAACUUUAUUUCAAAAGGCUUCGUGUUCUAAGGAGAACUUGCUUUGUGCUGCAUGGAACACUCUGGUCUUGGCAAUUCUAAUGUGGCACGGUGGUGGCAGCAUUUUUGUCCCUGUUCUGCUGAAGGAGAGGCUCAGGGCACAGAAAGGGAAGAGGUGGCUUAAAGGUCAUUGCCUGCAUCAGGAGCCAAGCCAGGAAUAGAAAGUGACUGUCCAGGUCCCAGACUAAAUGGUGUCGUUGGUAACGUCCACUGAGCAGGCUCAUAUCCCUCACAUUCACAGGGCUACCUCUGAACUCUCUGGACCUCAGGAACUAGAAGGGCUGCAAGAAAAAUUGGUUUGAAGCAUUAUGAAGCCUCCCGGGCUCCCUAGAGCUUUCAGAACCAAGGCCCUUUGGAUCAGCUCACAGGACACAGGAGCUUCAGGAUCUGGUCAACUUCUCCAGGCUCAUCUUGUGCUAGACCCCCACCCACUGCCUUAGCUCCAGACAUUCUGGAUGACCAGCAGUUCCUUGAAUACACUGUGCUCUUCUUACCACUGUUCUGGUCUUUUUAGAUACUUUUGCCUGCCUCAACUGCCCAUUUCCCCUUCAUCAAGUUAAUUCGUCUAUGUCUUUCAAAACUCCACUUAAGCAUCCAGAGCCUUCCCUGACAUCUGCCCCCCCUCCCUGCUGCCCAUUAUGUGCUCCUCUGUGACUCCCCGGCAUUUUGUGCUCCACAUUUACAAGGCUGUCUCUCCCAUAGACUGGAUGCUUUUCGGAGACAGGGAUCACAUCUUAUUGGACAUUAUCUUCCCAUGAAGCCUAGCACAGAGAGAGAAAAUACCCAGCGAAUGUUGAAUAAAUUCCUCUUGGAUGACUGCUCAGCUCAGACCACCUGUGUCUAUAAACAUCCCUUGCACAAUGAGAUCUAGCCCUGGCAAACACACUGUGAUUAUGUCCCAGCCCCAGGCAGCGGGCAUUUUGCUUGCUCUUAUUAUGGACGCUGCACAUAGAAAACAAAACCAUGGGGCCAUCAGAGGAGGCAACCAGCUUCAGGGUAUGUAAGCAGGAAGAACUGAGAGACAAUGUCCAAACUUUUGGAGCAAGACAAUUAUUUUAAGCAUCUCCUAGCCACUGGGCAACUGUUUGAAAACUUCCAGGGUCUGGGAGCUGUCCACCCUGCUAGCUGACGUGAGCCCUGCUGAAACAGCUCUGAGUGAUGCCUCUCCUGCUGGGAUAUGACAACAGCUCUCAAGUUGCCUGGCACCCUCUGCUGCAGAUUAAGCUGCCUUCUGUCUUUCCUGAGAUGACUGAAAACCCUAGCCCCUGCUUAUGGAAAGACUGCCUCACCACUGGGGCCUGGAGCUGAGCCUAAGGUCACCUACUGGGAUGACCAGAGUGGAUUUAGGGUGACGGUCCUUCAGGAGUUGUCAUGGCCCACCUGGCAGUCAUCUCCUCACACUGCCACUCACUGAGGUCACCUUAGUAACCCCUCCACCUUGCCCUUUUCUCACGUCCCCACUCCCACCCUCGACUAUCUCCCCACAAUCAGCUGUCAAACAUGGCUCUUCCUACCUGGAA